rnacentral:rRNA from 1 species
CCUACGGGUGGCUGCAGUGAGGAAUAUUGGUCAAUGGGCGGAAGCCUGAACCAGCCAAGUAGCGUGCAGGAUGACGGCCCUACGGGUUGUAAACUGCUUUUAUACGGGAAUAACGCGCCUUACGUGUAGGGCUUUGCAUGUACCGUAUGAAUAAGGACCGGCUAAUUCCGUGCCAGGAGCCGCGGUAAUCCGGAAGGUCCGGGCGUUAUCCGGAUUUUUUGGGUUUAAAGGGAGCGUAGGCCGCAUGUCAAGCUUGCUGUGAAAUGUCCGGGCUCAACCCGGGCCUUGCAGCGCGAACUGGCGUGCGUGAGUCCGCGGAAGGCAGGCGGAAUUCGUCGUGUAGCGGUGAAAUGCUUAGAUAUGACGAAGAACCCCGAUUGCGAAGGCAGCUUGCUGCAGCGGAACUGACGCUGAUGCUCGAAAGCGCGGGUAUCGAACAGGAUUAGAUACCCUAGUAGUC